rnacentral:rRNA from 1 species
UACGGGGGGGGCAAGCGUUGUUCGGAAUUACUGGGCGUAAAGGGUUCGUAGGUGGCCAACUAAGUCAUACGUGAAAUCCCUCAGCUUAACUGGGGAACUGCGUCUGAUACUGGUUGGCUUGAGUGCAGGAGAGGAACGCGGAAUUCCAGGUGUAGCGGUGAAAUGCGUAGAUAUCUGGAGGAACACCGGUGGCGAAGGCGGCAUCCUGGACCGGUAUUGACGCUGAGGCGCGAAAGCCAGGGGAGCAAACGGG